GGUUGGGAGAUAUGGUGUGGGCAGGGGUUUCUUUUGGCCUUCUGGGGAAGGGGACCUCUGCACUGGGACUGAGGAAAAUUUGAAAGAGAAGAGCAGUAGCGACAGAGUGUAGGUCCAAUGUGGAGCUUGAACUGACAACCUUGAGAUCAAGACUCGCAUGCUGUACUGACUGAGCCAGCCAGGAACCCCUCUUUGCUAAGUUUUUGAAUGCCUGACCUACCAAUGAUCUGGGGAGGUGAACUGAAAUCUUCCACUUUGAUGAUAAUUUGUCAAUUUCUCCCUGUAGUUCUAUCAAUUUUUGCUUUGUAUAUUUCAAAGACAUUUGAUUAAAGCAAAUUGUCUGGCUUACUAGA